rnacentral:tRNA from 2 species
AGUAAAGUCAGCUAAUUAAGCUCUUGGGCCCAUACCCCAAAUAUGUUGGUUAAACUCCUUCCUUUACUA